rnacentral:rRNA from 1 species
AUGGAAUUCUUAACGAUGUUCAGUGUCGGUGUGAAUUGUCGGAGUCAUACGAAGCAUACAGAAAACAACAAGAUAGAUGGCAUUCUGGUCCGGUGCAGUUGUUUAGACUCUGCUUUGUGGACAUUAUCAAAUCAAAGGGUCAUCAUUUAUGUAUUUCCUCUUUGGAGGGCGAUCUUGUUGCCCACUGAGAAGCAAUCCAAGCAGCAGAGAGUAGGGUCUACGCCGAACCUCGACUCCCUAUCAAAGGAGGGGAAGUGGCUGCGAGCACGGCGUUGGGUCGAUGGUGUCGUGCCUCGGCAGCCGAGAUCAGGCAAGGCAGAUGGGAAGCAACAGUGUCGCCUCUCCCCCGAGCUCCAGAUCCAUGGCAGCAGCAAUGAGGUGAGCAGCCGCAAAGGUUCCCACCUGAACAGAUCGAGCUGUGACACCGGUACAACCACAACCUCCAAUACUACUACGACUGAUAGCUAUCUUCUACCCAAAUUGAUCAGGUUGGGGAUGGAGGGUGGUAAGAGGACCAUGUUAUCAUAG